rnacentral:rRNA from 1 species
AAGGUAGCGAAAUUCCUUGUCGGGUAAGUUCCGACCUGCACGAAUGGAGUAACGACUUGGGCGCUGUCUCAACCGUGGACUCGGCGAAAUUGCAAUACGAGUAAAGAUGCUCGUUACGCGCGGCAGGACGGAAAGACCCCGGGACCUUUACUACAAUUUGGUAUUGGUGUUUGGUUCGGCUUGUGUAGGAUAGGUGGGAGACUUUGAAGCAGGGACGCCAGUUCUUGUGGAGUCAACGUUGAAAUACCACUCUGGUCGUACUAGAUGUCUAACCUAGGUCCGUUAUCCGGAUCAGGGACAGUGCCUGAUGGGUAGUUUAACUGGGGCGGUUGCCUCCUAAAAUGUAACGGAGGCGCUCAAAGGUUCCCUCAGCCUGGUUGGCAAUCAGGUUUCGAGUGUAAGUGCACAAGGGGAGCUUGACUGUGAGAGUGACAACUCGAGCAGGGACGAAAGUCGGAACUAGUGAUCCGGCGCUGGCAUGUGGAAGCGGCG